AUGACACGGUCCGAAAAGACCCGUCACUUCGGGAAUCAAAAUUAUGAAAAACUGCGGAAAAUAUGCAUAAAAAAGAAGCAACCAUUCGUCGACACACUCUUUCCACCAACCAAUCAAUCACUGUUUCUGGAACAACGACAAAGUUCGGAUAUUGUAUGGAAAAGGCCUGGAGAAUUACACCCGGAUCCACAUCUUUUUGUAGAAGGAGCCUCGCCAAAUGAUGUCACUCAAGGAAUUCUCGGAAACUGUUGGUUUGUGUCUGCCUGCUCCGCCCUCACUCACAACUUUAAAUUACUGGCUCAAGUGAUUCCGGAUGCGGAUGAUCAGGAAUGGUCGACAAAGCACGCGUACGCUGGAAUAUUUAGAUUCAGAUUUUGGAGAUUUGGAAAAUGGGUCGAAGUGGUUAUUGAUGAUUUAUUGCCGACGAGAGACGGAAAACUCCUAUUUGCCCGCUCAAAAACACCCAACGAAUUCUGGUCGGCUCUUCUCGAAAAGGCAUUUGCAAAGUUAUACGGUUGCUAUGAGAAUCUAGUCGGUGGACACCUUUCCGAUGCUCUUCAAGAUGUUUCCGGUGGAGUUGCAGAGACACUUCAUGUUAGAAAGUUUUUGAAAGAUGACCCAAAUGACACUGAACUGAAAUUAUUCAACGAUUUAAAAACAGCAUUCGAUAAAGGUGCACUAGUUGUGGCUGCCAUUGCAGCACGUACAAAAGAAGAAAUUGAAGAAUCGCUAGAUUGUGGACUAGUGAAAGGACAUGCUUAUGCAGUUAGUGCCGUUUGCACAAUUGAUGUCACAAAUCCAAAUGAGAGGAGUUUUACAUCGUUCAUAAUGGGCUCAAAACGGAAACAAAAUCUAAUCCGACUUCAAAAUCCGUGGGGCGAGAAGGAAUGGAACGGUGCAUGGUCAGAUGAUAGUCCAGAAUGGCAAAAUGUGUCAGCCAGUCAGUUGAGUACAAUGGGAGUACAACCAGCCAAUUCUGACAGUGAUGACGGUGAUUUUUGGAUGCCAUGGGAGUCGUUUGUUCAUUAUUUCACCGACAUUUCCUUGUGUCAACUAUUCAAUACUUCUGUUUUCUCGUUUUCAAGAAGUUACGAUGAGCAGAUUGUCUUCUCCGAGUGGACUACAAAUGGCAAGAAGAGCGGAGCACCCGAUGAUCGAGCUGGUGGAUGUCAUAAUUUUAAGGUAAAAACAAAGGCCCUCAUGAAUUGUUUAUGAAAAUUAUCACCCAAAUAAGUUGAUUAACUUGGGCGGGGCUUAUUUUACAGGUUUUGAUAAUUUACAAGUAUUGUUCAAAGCUCCAUUUAAAUGUAAAAUCUGAACCAAAAAACUUUGAAAGUUGAAGAAAUCCACUUCACUUACAAUGUGUCCUUGGUCGAGUUUUGACUAUCUGAUCUAUAAUUUUUGAUUAAUUUUUAAUAUUAAUUAGCAAAAAAAGCGGAGCACCGGAGGGUGGAUGUCAUAAUUUUAAGGCAACAUUCUGCAACAAUCCGCAAUACAUUUUCGACAUUCCAUCACCAAAUUGUUCAGUAAUGUUUGCUCUAAUACAAAAUGAUCCAAGUGAAGGAUUGAAGAAACGUGAACCAUUUGUCACAAUUGGAAUGCACGUGAUGAAAGUGGAAAAUAAUCGACAAUAUCGAGUACAUACAGCCAUGCAUCCAAUUGCAAUUUCGGAUUAUGCGUCGGGUCGAUCGGUUUAUUUGCAUCUGCAGAGUUUGCCACGUGGCAGAUAUUUAUUGAUUCCGACGACAUUUGCACCGAAAGAACAGACGCUUUUUAUGUUGAGAGUGUAUUCCGAUGAACAUAUCCAUUUUUCACCGUUGACAAAGCACGCUCCAAAACUCGGUCUCCUGAAAUGCAAAUCUGCACAAAGUGUAACUCGUCUGACAAUUCACGGAGUCGACUUCAACUCAGCCUCAACGGGAACUCACAAUGUCUACGCAAUUCUCAAAGAUUCCAGAAAAUCGUUCAGAACGAAAACUUUGAGUGGAGUGAAGUCGAUUCAAUGGGAUGAGCAAUUUUUAUUUCAUAAAUCAAAAAAUCGUCAGCAAUACAAAAUCGAAGUGUGGGAAGAUCGUAAAAUGGCUCGAGACCACCUUCUUGCUCAAUCCGUUAUCAUUGCUCUAAUCGAUAACGAGAAUCGUGAUACGACCCUUCAGUUGACAGAUCCACGUGGUACUGUCAUUGGUACCGUAUCGGUUACUGUAUCUGCAUUUGAUGAUCCUAUGUACCUUUAA
rnacentral:misc_RNA from 1 species